rnacentral:lncRNA from 1 species
GUUAGACCUCUAGUCUAAGCUGGCCCACACUGAGCCUGCAGAGAAGCUAAAAUGAGGCUGUGGCUGCUGAGUUUAGUGGCAGGGAUCAUCCUGGGGGUGGCCGGGACCCCCCUGGGAAAAGCCUCAACAGGAAGAGAACGAGCAAAGGAGGAAAAGUCUAUGAACAGGAGCUCACAAAUGGAUUUUAUCCUUCGAAAUCUAAAUGGCAGCAGCAUCAGAGAUCUCUGUGAGGGCUGCUGUGAGGAGAGAGAGAAAGAGGAACUAUACCUAAGCAGGCAACCAAGGAAGACACUGAAGUCUCCCAGGAAGAGAAGACCUGGCCAGUGGACAAUCCUUGGGAGUUUGCCUCUCCCAAUUGGAAACAGUUCCAUCAAUAUGGUGAUGAUGUUUCAUAAUGACACUCAUAUUGACUAUCAAGCUAAGAAAGUCACACACCAGGCUGAGAACCUCAGAGAAGGGUGGUGCUCUGGCUGCUGUGAAGACAAUGGAACCCUGGGGGCCCUUGAGAGAAGAGAGGGAGAAGAAGUCAAAGAAGUGCCUCCUAUUAGCACUGAUCAUGGUGGUCAGGUCCUAGGGAACUCUGGUUCCACAGAGAAGAGAUUGGCUCACCUUUCUGAAGUUUCCCAUGAAGCUAGAGGGCAGUUUGAUCUCGGACUUAGUAAAUACCCUACAGAAACCUUUCCUGUCUUCCCCACAAGCUAAACCAUGCUCUAGUCUACCUUGAAUAAGACCUAGUGCAAUGCCCAGCAGGAACAGAGCACCACGAGAAAUACUUUACUUAUGCUAAAGCAAUAAUUCUGGGAAAUAAAAGGUCCUGUGUUCCAUUCCCUCCA